UCGCUACUACCGAUUGGGUGGUUUAGUGAGGUCCUUGGAUCGGCCCCGCCGGGGCUCCUCGUUGGGUCCUGGCGGAGCGUCGAGAAGACGAUCAAACUUGACCAUCUAGAGAUAGUAAAAGUCGUAACAAGGUUUCCGUAGGUGAACCUGCGGAAGGAUCAUUA
rnacentral:rRNA from 1 species